rnacentral:rRNA from 1 species
UACGGGGGGGUGCGAGCGUUGUCCGGAAUCAUUGGGCGUAAAGCGCGUGUAGGCGGCUGGGUAAGUCCGCUCUGAAAGCCCGGGGCUCAACCCCGGGAGGCGGGUGGAUACUGCUCAGCUCGAGUCCGGAAGAGGAGUGUGGAAUUCCUGGUGUAGCGGUGAAAUGCGCAGAUAUCAGGAGGAACACCAAUGGCGAAGGCAGCACUCUGGGAGCGGUACUGACGCUGAGACGGCGAAA